rnacentral:tRNA from 1 species
GGUUCCGUAGCUCAGUCGGUUAGAGCGUGUGGCUGUUAACCACAAGGUCGCAGGUUCGAACCCUGCCGGUACCG